AGAGUUUGAUUAUGGCUCAGGAUGAACGCUAGCUACAGGCUUAACACAUGCAAGUCGAGGGGCAGCAUGAACUUAGCUUGCUAAGUUGAUGGCGACCGGCGCACGGGUGAGUAACGCGUAUCCAACCUUCCCCUUAGUAGGGCAUAGCCCGGCGAAAGUCGGAUUAAUACCCUAUGUUCUUCGUAGAAGACAUCUGAAAUGAAGCAAAGGUUUGCCGCUAAGGGAUGGGGAUGCGUCCGAUUAGGUAGUCGGCGGGGUAACGGCCCACCGAGCCAUCGAUCGGUAGGGUUCUGAGAGGAAGGUCCCCCCACACUGGUACUGAGACACGGACCAGACUCCUACGGGAGGCAGCAGUGAGGAAUAUUGGUCAAUGGGCGCGAGCCUGAACCAGCCAAGUAGCCGUGCAGGAUGACGGCCCUAUGGGUUGUAAACUGCUUUUAUACGGGGAUAAAGUGAGCCACGUGUGGCUUUUUGCAGGUACCGUAUGAAUAAGGACCGGCUAAUUCCGUGCCAGCCGCCGC
rnacentral:rRNA from 1 species